rnacentral:lncRNA from 1 species
AACAGCGCAAAAGCAAGCAGAUUAAGUCUAAAGGAAAUCGCAACACACUUUAAUAUCUUCUUACAAACAACAGAGAAAUGAGAAUUCAUUAAAACAUUUUCCAUCAGAAAUGAGAAUUCAUUAAAACAUUUUCCAUCAGAAAUGAGAAAGGAAAAAUUGAACCUGAAAUUGCUCUCAACAUAUUUGAAUCUCCGACGAUUACACUUCAAUAAGAAUUCCAACGAUUGAACUCGAGAGGAAAACUGAAAUACAAUAGCAACAUAAUUGAACGGGUACGGCGAAUCUGCUCGGAUUGAACCUCGAACAGCGACCUCGAAUCAAGCCCGGAAAUCAAACUUGAACCUCAAACAACGCCCUUUUUUUUUUAAAGAAAAAUUAGAGUUGAAAGAUGAAAUGAGCAUAUUUGUUGUAGGAAUUUUCUGGAACACAAUCCUAGCAAAUUCACGAAUGGAAUAUCAUUUUUGAAAUAUGAAAGAAGAAAAAAAACAAAAUCAUCUCAGAUCUGUUCUUGCGACCUUUUGCCACUGCUUCUCAUGCUACUUCUGCAUGUUUUCGAAGAAAUGAGGGCCAACGGCUGUUCUUGGUUGCUAAAGGAUUUCGCUGGAGGGAGCUAGCCAUUGAAAUGGAGGAUUUCGCCGGUGGAAUUGUGGUUGUUUCAAAGAAUUGUUGCCGGAUUUCCAGCGAGCUGGGUUGGGUCCGGAAAGAGACGGAGACGGGGUUGUUGUUUACCCCGUUGAGAU